GACCGCGUAGCUCAGUUGGAAGAGCAUUGGGCUAGUAUUCCACAACCUCGUACCCAGGGCCAGUCGUGAGUUGAAGGCAGCGCCUUCAAUUCGCGGCUAGCCCUGGGUACGAGGUUGGUAUUCCAAAGGUCGUAGGUUCGAAUCCCACCGUGGCCG